GAUUGAGGACAAAAAGAGCCAAACCCAAGCAUCACAAGAUCCUGUAGUCUUACCUGAUACAUGAGCUCCAAAGUUCCGAAA
rnacentral:snoRNA from 13 species